CGUAGGGUGAACCUGCGGAAGGAUCAUUAUCUAUUCCAUGAGGUGCGGUCGCGGCCCUCGGCGGGAGCAACAGCUACCGUCGGGCGGUAGAGGUAACACUUUCACGCGCCGCAUGUCUGAAUCCUUUUUUUACGAGCACCUUUCGUUCUCCUUCGGCGGGGCAACCUGCCGUUGGAACCUAUCAAAACCUUUUUUUGCAUCUAGCAUUACCUGUUCUGAUACAAACAAUCGUUACAACUUUCAACAAUGGAUCUCUUGGCUCUGGCAUCGAUGAAGAACGCAGCGAAAUGCGAUAAGUAGUGUGAAUUGCAGAAUUCAGUGAAUCAUCGAAUCUUUGAACGCACAUUGCGCCCCUUGGUAUUCCAUGGGGCAUGCCUGUUCGAGCGUCAUCUACACCCUCAAGCUCUGCUUGGUGUUGGGCGUCUGUCCCGCCUCUGCGCGCGGACUCGCCCCAAAUUCAUUGGCAGCGGUCCUUGCCUCCUCUCGCGCAGCACAUUGCGCUUCUCGAGGUGCGCGGCCCGCGUCCACGAAGCAACAUUACCGUCUUUGACCUCGGAUCAGGUAGGGAUACCCGCUGAACUUAAGCAUAUC
rnacentral:rRNA from 1 species